GCUCUCUUUUCUAAUCCUAUGGAUGACAACUUAAUUUGUGCAGUAAAAUUACUGAAGUUGACAGGGUCAGUUUUGGAAGAUGCCUGGAAGGAGAAAGGAAAGACUGAUAUGGAAGAAAUCAUUCAGAGAAUUGAGAAUGUUGUCCUAGAUGCAAAUUGCAGCAGAGAUGUGAAACAGAUGCUCUUGAAGCUUGUUGAACUCCGGUCAAGUAACUGGGGUAGAGUCCACGCAACUUCAAUGUACAGAGAAGCAACACCUGAAAAUGAUCCUAAUUAUUUUAUGAAUGAACCAACAUUUUAUACCUCUGACGGUGUUCCUUUCACUGCGGCCGACCCAGAUUACCAAGAGAAAUAUCAAGAGUUACUUGAAAGAGAAGACUUUUUUCCAGAUUAUGAAGAAAAUGGGACAGAUUUAUCAGGGACUGGUGAUCCAUACUUGGAUGAUAUUGAUGAUGAGAUGGACCCAGAGAUAGAAGAAGCUUAUGAAAAGUUUUGUUUGGAAUCAGAGCAUAAGCGAAAACAGUAAAGCUAAAUUUCAACAUAAGAGUUUUAUAAAGCAGCUUAGGUUAUGGUGAUUUAGCAG